UAAGCAUAUCAAUAAGCGGAGGAAAAGAAACCAACAGGGAUUGCCCCAGUAACGGCGAGUGAAGCGGCAACAGCUCAAAUUUGAAAUCUGGCCUUCGGGUCCGAGUUGUAAUUUGGAGAGGAUGCUUCUGGCGCGGCGCCGUCCGAGUUCCUUGGAACAGGACGCCAUAGAGGGUGAGAGCCCCGUACGGGCGGACGCCUAGCCUUUGUGAAGCUCCUUCGACGAGUCGAGUAGUUUGGGAAUGCUGCUCAAAAUGGGAGGUAAAUUUCUUCUAAAGCUAAAUACCGGCCAGAGACCGAUAGCGCACAAGUAGAGUGAUCGAAAGAUGAAAAGCACUUUGAAAAGAGGGUUAAAAAGUACGUGAAAUUGUUGAAAGGGAAGCGCCUGUGACCAGACUUGCUGCCCACGGAUCAUCCGGCGUUCCUCGCCGGUGCACUCCGCGGGCGGCAGGCCAGCAUCGGUUCUCCUAGGGGGUUAAAGGUCGCGGGAACGUGGCUCCUUCGGGAGUGUUAUAGCCCGCGGCGUCAUGCCUCUGGGGGGACCGAGGACCGCGCUUCGGCAAGGAUGCUGGCGUAAUGGUCACCGGCGACCCGUCUUGAAACACGGACCAAGGAGUCAAGCAUUGGGGCGAGUGUCUGGGUGCCAAACCCGCACGCGAAAUGAAAGUAAACGCAGGUGAGAGCUUCGGCGCAUCACCGACCGAUCCUGAUGUCUUCGGAUGGAUUUGAGUAAGAGCCUUACCGCUUGGACCCGAAAGAUGGUGAACUAUGCCUGUAUAGGGUGAAGCCAGAGGAAACUCUGGUGGAGGCUCGCAGCGGUUCUGACGUGCAAAUCGAUCGUCAAAUAUGGGCAUGGGGGCGAAAGACUAAUCGAAC
rnacentral:rRNA from 1 species